UGGCAGGAGGCACCCAUAGUGUCCAGUCUCAUGGACCAACUCAAUGGGCCCCUGGUUGUGUUCCGCGAUGGAAGCAUUUCUCCCUCGGGAACAAAACCUUUCAAAUCGACAGAGCCCGGAGGGUUCGAGUGCAUGUGGUUAUUAGGUGUAAUAGUGAGGAAAGCCACUCCCACUCUCUGAUUUGGGGCCCUGUUAUUGUGGAUGUGGGAGGAACCAUACCUUCUACUGGUCACCUCAUCAAAGCAUAUUCUUCAUCCUGUAAGACAGAACUUUAACCUUUCAGGCCAUUGUCUCUCAAGCAGAACCUUAACUGAGUGUUCACAUGGCCAUUCCACCCUUCAGUUGGGCCAGCUGCUUCCAGAUGAGAGAGAGUCCAUGAUAAGACUAGCGAUUUCCACGGGCCCAAGGUCCCUGUUGUCCUGUCGCUGUGAAAUGGGUUCGUUGGUCCGAAGCAAUGUUGGGUGGAAUGCCGUUUGGCAUAGAGGGCACCCCGUAAGUCCAGAGAUGGCAAAGAAGACGAGUAAAUAUCAAGAACCAAAAAUAGGGAGACAUGCUGGGAGAGAGAUGGGAGGGGAAGUGGUGGAGGGACAGGGUGGGAUGGAUUGUAAGAAAGAUAAAUCUUCAUCUUCCAUCACAGUAAGUCAAAGAUGGUGUCGAAAAUGGUGAAAUCAAGAACUAGUGCUUAGAAUUAUGGAGAUUUAAAAACAGAAGAGACACCUCCCAGAGUUGCAAGUGGUCGCCUGUCCCAGAGAGCUGGUGAGAUGAGGUGGGGAGGUGGCAGCUGAGUUUUAUGGUGAGAAAGUGGAGUUCGAAGAUGUCAUCAGCCCAGGUCACACAGAUGGUGGAGACCAGUGUGGAGCCCGGGAGUGGGCUGAGCAGAGCAUCUGGACUUUGAGCUUCCAUCAGACCCUGAGAUAGUCACCUGUCCUGGCUGCCUGGUGACCCUGGUGUGCUAACGUGGCACUUAUCUUGCUCUAUGGAGGCCCCUGGGCCCCCUAAACACCAGGUGGGUGCCUUCAGCCAGCCCCAUACUGACCUGUGAAGCCCAGGUAUUGCUGGCCAACCCACCCCACUCACAGACAGAAGCAGUUCUCCAUCUUUUGGCUUUAGCAGAUCUGCUUCAUUUCUCCUCCCCACAAAGCCUGGACUUUGUUCUGGGGGUAUCCCUGUUUGCAGUGAAGCUUUUUCACUCAGUGCUCAAUCUGAGCCCAACUCCACCCCACAUCUCUGAUUCAUAGACUUUUGUGACUGCCUUGACCAGUAGAGUAUGGCAGAAGAUGCUCUGUAACUUCCCAGGCUAGAUCUAGAAAAUGCCACGCAUUUCUGCCUUGCUCUCCUGCGACAUCCACUCUUAGAACCCAGUUGCUGUGCUAAAAAGAACUCACAGACCACGUGGAGUGGAGCAGAUGGGUCAGUGUCCCAGGUGGCAGCCCGUGUCGGCCUCAGACCUGCACGUGAGGAUGCCCACCAGAGGGUUCCUGCCACCACCGUCAAGUCACCCCAGCCUUAAUCUUCCAGCCGGCGCCUCAGGCAUUAUGGGCAGAGGUAAACUGUCUCCAUGAUGCCCUUUCCAAAUUUCUGACCCACAGAAUCCAUGGCUAUAAUAAAAUGGCUGUCUUAUGUGCUCAAUUUUGGGGUGGUUUGUAGCAUAGCAGUAUAACUAGAACAUCUAGCUCGUGAGAGAACCAGCAAAGAAAGCAAAAAUCACCCCAGCCUAUAAAGGGCCCUGAGGGUGGUGGGACCCAUGGGUGACAGGAAACCAAUCCCUGCACCCCAAGAGGUGGCAGGGCCUCCAAC
rnacentral:lncRNA from 10 species